rnacentral:misc_RNA from 1 species
UCCGGUUUGUCACCGGCAGUCAUCUUAGAGUGCCCACCAUAACAUGCUGGCAACUAAGAUCAAGGGUUGCGCUCGUUGCGGGACUUAACCCAACAUCUCACGACACGAGCUGACGACAACCAUGCACCACCUGUCUCCUCUGUCCCGAAGGAGGGCCCUAUCUCUAGGGCUUACAGAGGGAUGUCAAGACCUGGUAAGGUUCUUCGCGUUGCUUCGAAUUAAACCACAUACUCCACUGCUUGUGCGGGUCCCCGUCAAUUCCUUUGAGUUUCAGCCUUGCGGCCGUACUCCCCAGGCGGGGCACUUACUGCGUUAGCGACGGCACCGGGAGGGUCGCUCCCCCCGACGCCUAGUGCCCAUCGUUUACGGCGUGGACUAC